rfam:Ovis aries breed Texel chromosome 3, whole genome shotgun sequence.
UCCCUGGUAGCUUAGCUGGUAAAGACUUUGCCUGCAAUGCAUGAGACCCCAGUUUGAUUUCUGGGUCAGGAAG